CGGGCAGUGGCGGAGGCGUGAGGGAGGUGUGCGCUUGCGUGUACGGCGCCGCUGUGACCCCCCCACCGCCCCUGCGGGCGGGGGGCGGUGCCUGUGCCUUCCGCCCCGCGGCCUGGCUGCUGCCUCCCCGCCGCGCACCUGCGAUGCGUGGAGUUGGCGAGAAGGUCCUGCGUGUGAGUACGUGGUUGCGCGUUGGUAGGGCCUGGAGCUGAGGGUAGUUUAAAUUCGGUCCGUCUGGACUCCAAGAAAAUCCUGGCCUCUCGUGAAUCUUCUCCACCGUCUCGGUUCUGCCCUUCUCCAAGAGGUGCAUGUCUGAGAACCACUUAGAGGUACCUUGGUGUUUCUUUUUCGUUUUCUUUUUGUGGAAAUUCGUUUUUCCCUCAGCUUUGAUUUCCUUGCCUCCUGAUUUGAUGCCUGACCUAGGCGCAUCAAGUGGCCCGUUUCUUGUACUUACCAUUUGAGAAAAUGUUGGGGUGGGGUGUACAUGUUAAAGAGCCCGGUGUGUCUUGCCGUCCCCCUAACCAACUGUUAGUAGUUUGACAAAUGUUUCACUUUUCUCCUGUGUUGUCUUUUUAUUUUAUUUAAUGUAUUUUUUCUGCUUAUAAAAUUACAGAUCAGUUUGGAGAAUUUGGAAAAUAUACAAAGUAACAAUAAAAAAAAUCAAGUUUAAGAAAUAUAAAGAGAACACUCAGGUAACCACCCAGGUCACAACAUAGAACAUUGCAAGCGCUUCAGUAACAUCCUAAUCAAAAUCAAAAUCACCCUUCCUGUCCACCCCUAACUUUUAUGAUAAUCAGUUUUUUCAUUAUAGUUUACCUACCUAAUUAUGCAUCAGUAAAUGAUAAGUGUACUUUUUAACUUUAUGUGACUUUCUGUAUUAUUUUUUUAACACUCUAAUAUGAAAUUUGCCUGUAUUGUAUAUUUUUUCAUAACGUUUGAUAGUGUAUCCUUAUAUAAAUAGGUUAACGUAAUGUUCAUUAUGUCAUUGGUGGUUAGUUUGAUACUUUUCAAUUUUGGGCCAUUACAGUGCUGCUGGAGCAUAUAUGUGCAUAACUACUGGAAUGCAGAUUUUAUUUAUUUGACAGCACAAGCAGGGAGAGCAGGGAGCUGAGCAGGGAGUCCAGUGCGGGGCUCAAUCCCAGGACCACAGCAUAAUGACCUGAGCCGAAGGCAGAGUCUCAACUGACUAAGGCACCCAGGCACCCCAAGGUAUUUCUUAAAUAAUGAGACUUGAAGGUCAGAAUACCCCUCGAUCCAUGGGCUGCAGGAUGUGUUAGCAGGCAUGAAAGCAACAUUAAUCUUGUCCAUCUCCAUUAGAACUCUUGGGUGACCAGGUACAUUGUGAACGACUGGUUCUAUUUUGAAAGGAAUCCUUUUUUUCCAAGUGGUAUGUCUCAAUCUUGAGCUUAAAAUAUUCAAUAAAUCCCAUUGUAACAGAUGAGCUGUCAUCUAGGCUUUGUUCCAUUUAUAGAGCACAGACAGUAGAUUUAGCAUGAUUCUUAAGGACCCUAGGAUUUUUGGAAUUGGCAACGAGCAUUGACUUCCACUUCAAGUCAUCAGCUGAAUUAGCCUCUCUUGAGAAAGUCAGCCUGUCCUUUGAACCUUUGAAGUCAAGCAUUGACUUCAUGAAUUCUCUUAGCUAGAUCUUCGGGAUCACUUGCUACACCUUCCCCGUCAGCACUCGCUGCUUCACCUUGCACUUGUACGCUUUGGAGACCUCUUUCCUAAGCCUUGCCAACUUCUGCCAGCUCCCAACUUUUCUUCUGCAGCUUCCUCACCUCCUCAGCCUGCACAGAACUGAAGAGUCAGGGCCUUGCUCUGGGUGAGGCACUGGCCGAAGGGAAUGUUGUGGCUGGUCUGAGCUUCCAUCCACACCAGUCAGACUCUCCAUGUCAGCAGGGAGGCUGUUUCAUUUUCUUCUCAUGCGAGUGUUCACUGGGGAAGCACCUGUGAUGUCCUUCGAGAACGUUUCCUUUGCAUUCAUAACUGGGCUAAUUGUUUGGCACAAGAGGCCUAGCUUUCGGCCUGUCUUGGGAUUCGACGGGCGUUCCUCACGAAGCUUAAUCAUCUCUAGUUGCGAUGGAAAGUGAGAGAUGUGUGACUCUUCCUUUCACUUGAACACUUAGAGGCCAUGGUAGGGUUAUCAGUUGUGCUAAUGUCAAUACGGUUGUGUCUCAGGGAAUAGGGAGGCCCGAGGAGGAGGGGAGAGAGAGGUGGGGGAAGGGCCCAUCUGUGGAGCAGCCAGAACACACACAGCAUUGAUCCGUUACGUUCACCGUCUUAUAUGGUUUAAGAACAAUUAAAAUAGUAACAUCAAAGAUCACAGAUCACCAUAACAAUUAUAAUAAUGACCCAGGCACCCCUAAUCAGGCUUUUUAAUUUAAGUCAUUCUGGUAAAUGUAUAGUGGUAUCUAAUUUUGGUUUUAAUUGACAUUCUCUGAUGAUUAAUAAGCACCUUUUCUUGUGUUUAUUGGAAAAAAUAUAUCCUUUGUAGGAGCGUCUGGGUGGCUUAGUCAUUAAGCAUCUGCCUUCCACUCAGGUCAUGAUCCCAGUGUCCUGGGAUCGAGCCUUGCAUCAGGCUCCCUGCUCCGCAGAGAGCCUGCUUCUCCCUCUCCCACUCCCCCUGCUUGUGUUCCCUCUCUCACUAUUCUCUCUCUGUGUCCAAUAAAUAAAUUAAAAAAUCAUUAAAAAAUAUAUAUAUAUAUCCUUUGUAAAGUGUCUGCUUGAGUCAGUCAUAACAUUCGGUUGUCUGACUUUUCUUUAAUAUUGUACAUGGUAUCCAGAUAAACACAAGUCCUUAAUUUUAAUGUAGUCAAAUUUGUCAAAUUUUUUAUGGUUACUGUGUUUUAUUCCCCGUUCCUUUUUUUUUUUUAAGAUUUUAUUUAUUUGACAGAGAGCGAGAGCAGGAACACAAGCAGGGGGAGUGGGAGAGGGAGAAGCAGGCUUCCUGCCGAGCAGGGAGCCCGAUGUGGGACUCGAUCCCAGGACCCUGGGAUCAUGACCUGAGCUGAUGGCAGACGCUUAACGACUGAGCCACCAAUAGUGUUUUAUUUCUUAAUCAUGGUGAUAGGUCCAUAUAUUUUUGUUAUAUUAUUUUUUAAAUCCUUAACAAGUCUGAGGUAUUUAAUAAUUAUUUUAAGAUUUGGUUAUAUUUUACAUGCUUUUAAAAAAUUUUUUUAGUUUGAGCAUAGUUGACACACAAUGUUACGUUAGUUUCAGGUGUAUAUACUGAUUCAACAAGUCUGUACAUUAUGGUAUGGGUCACCACAAGUGUGGCUACCAUCUGUCUGCACACAGCGCUAUUACAAUAUCAUUGCCUAGGGGGCGCCUGGGGGGCUCAGUCGGUUGGGCGGCUGCCUUCGGCUCGGGUCGUGAUCCUAGAGUCCCGGGAUUGAGUUCCGCAUCGGGCUCCCUGCUCGGCAGGGGGUCUGCUUCUCCCUCUGACCCUCUCCCCUCUCAUGUGCUCUCUCUCUCAAAUAAAUAAAAUCUUUAAAAAAAAAGAAUAUUUGGGGCACCUGGGUGGCUCAGUCGGUUGGGCUCCCUGCUCAGCGGGGGGUCUGCUUCUCCCUCUGACCCUCCCCCCUCUCGUGCUCUCUCUCUCUCAAAUAAAUAAAAUCUUUAAAAAUAAAAAAUAAAUAAAAAAAAUAAAAAAUAAAAAAGACUGCAGAUAUAUUGAGAGAUUGUACCUACAUCUAACGAGGUUAAGAUACCUCCUUGUUAUUAAAAGAGUCAAUCUAGGGCGCCUGGGUGGCUCAGUCGGUUGAGCGACUGCCUUUGGCUCAGGUCAUGAUCCUGGAGUCCUGGGAUCGAGUCCCGCAUCGGGCUCCCUGCUCAGCGGGGAGUCUGCUUCUCCCUCUGACCCUCCCCCCCUCAUGUGCUCUCUCUCAUUCUCUCUCUCUCAAAUAAAUAAAAUCGUUAAAAAAAAAACCCAAAAAACAAUAUCAUUGCCUAUGUUCUCCGUGCUGUGCCUUUUAUUCCCAUGACCUAUUCAUUCCAUGUAAUUUUCCUAGAUAUUGCCAAAUUGUCCUCUUGAGGGCUACUGUACCAUCAUCCAUUUCCACUGCAAUUAACCAGAGUUAUCUAUCACACUGCAGUCUGAGCAACAGAGUACGCUGUCAAGCCUUUGUCUUUGCUAAUAAAUUGCGAUACACACAUCUAUAUAUCUGUGAAGUCAUCACUGUAAUCAGGAUCAUGAACAUACCUAUCACUCCCAAAAGUUUUGGGGGGCCCCUUUGUAAUACCUGUUUCCCAUUACUCUUCACCCUUCCCCUUCCCAUCAGGCAAUCACUAACCUGUUUUCUGUCGCUGUGUAUUAUUUUGCAUUUCCUAGAAUUUUGUAUAAAUGGAGUAAUAAAGAAUAUUUAUGGGCGCCUGGGUGGCUCAGUUGGUUAAGCGACUGCCUUCGGCUCAGGUCAUGGUCCUGGAGUCCCGGGAUCGGGUCCCGCAUCGGGCUCCCUGCUCGGCAGGGAGUCUGCUUCUCCCUCUGACCCUCCCCCCUCUCAUGUGCUUGCUCUCUCUCAUUCUCUCUCUCUCAAAUAAGUAAAUAAAAUCUUUAAAAAAAAAGAAUAUUUAUAACAAAGAGUCUACCCUGCCCAUACACAAAACCUUCAUCCUGGCUCCAUCCCCAACCACAAUAAAAGCCAGAGCCAGGGCGCUUGGGUGGCUCAGUCAUUAAGCGUCUGCCUUCGGCUCAGGUCAUGAUCCUGGAGUCCCGGGAUCGAGUCCCGCAUCGGGCUCCCUGGUCUGUGGGAAGCCUGCUUCUCCCUCUCUCACUCCCCCAGCUUGUGUUCCCUCUCUCGCUAUCUCUCUCUCUGUCAAAUAAAUAAAUUUAAAAAAAUCUUAAAAAAAAAAAAAAAAAAAAAGCCAGAGCCAAUCACUCAUCGUUGUACUCCCAGGCAAUCUUUGGAGCUGGUUGGAGCCUACCUUGUCCGCCUCCCCCCACCCCCCCCCGAAAGCCUAAUGACUAAUAAAUCUCUUCACACUUCCUUAAUGUGUGUGUAGCAACAUCAGUCUUGACAUACAAAUAAAAGUUUGGGUGAGGGUCUGUCCUGCCUCUAGAGUGAACACAGUAAUUCACUGGAACUGUGACCAGGAUGUGUAGAUGGUCACCACCACCACUGAGAUCUUUCUUCUGUUGCUUUGGCGUGCUGCCUACUAGCAAGCAUGCACUUUCAGCUAUUGCUUGCCAGCUAACAUGCUCUUUGGGCUGUGUCCAUGCUUGCACUUUGAGUUGUGCAACCCUUUGCUACGUUUGCCAGGUCCAGUGAGCCUCUGUCAUACAGGAAACCAAGCAAAGUUACAAGUUAUAAUUGGCAUUAAGAAACCUGUGUAAGGGAUUGGGCCCUCCUUAAAGUGACCCUGGUCACAUAUUUCAGCCUGGACUGAUUGGUGUGUCUCAGAUUGAAUUAGGUGUCUCAGUGGCAUUAGCUGUGACUGAUGCCAAGCUCAGAGGAAAGACGUACCUUGUUGCCACCGGUUGUGUCUCAGGCAGGCGCUGGCUUCUGUGUAAAGAGUGCUCGGGAAAGACUGAUAGCUGGUGCAGCAAAGGAGCCCACGGCUAGCGCUUCUGUGGAGGGAGAGCUGGGACUAUAGCAGUUUUGUUGUUGCUACAUACGCCUGUAUCAUCAAAAAUGAUCCUGGUCCGGGUUAUGGGGGGGAACCCUCAUUAAGCGAAGGGCUUAAUUCAACCAUUGCAUGGGGAAGGACCCUGACAUUGACAGUUCUUAUCUGGGACUCUCAAAAGGGAAGAAACAUAAAUAGCAGUAGCACCAAAAAGGGGGGGAGGGGGAAUAAACCCAGAUUAUGAGGGAAGGAAGCAAAAAAACUGAAACAGAAGUCCACAUAUUCACCCAAUUAGAAAUCUAAAUCUACUAAAAGUUUAUACAACAAAAAGAAAAGAGUGGUGACUGACCUUUACACAUUUACAACACAGGUCUGAAUUAACUUUACAUCUGCCAGCAUGUACCAACUGGCAAAUUUUCACAAUCUUAAUGCUAGGGCUUAUACUACUUGGGGUUCCCUCUAAAUUAAAACAAAGUACUUUGUAUAAUUUUAGGGGAGUUAUUGAACAUAAAAUAGAAGACAAAAAGGUAUGCCACAUCUUAACCAUCAAAAGUAUUGCCUUUUUAAUUCCUCGUGGUCAUGGCAUCCACUGCCCUAAAAUAUCCCAUAAUGGGCAUAGAUGUUCCAACCCAUUAAGUAGUAAAUUUAAAUUGCCACUUAUAAAAGACUUGACAAAGUGGAAACCCAUGCAUUUUCUCCUCCAGUUAAGACAGUUAAUACAGCUGUAUUAGUUUCCUAUUACUGUUGUAACAGAUUACUACAAACAUAUUGGCUUAAAACAAUACAAAUUUACUAUCUCUUCUGGACAUCAGAGUCCUAAAUGAUCUUCACUGGGCUAAAAUCAAUGCAUUGACAGGAUUGCAUCACCUCUGGAGGCCCUAGGAGAGAAUCGUUUCCCUUACUUCUUCUAUCUUCUGGUGGCUGCCUACGCUGCUCUACUCGUGGCUCCUCCCUUCAUCUUCUAAACCAGCAGCUGUGGCUACAAAUCUCUCUUGACUGACUUCUUACCUCCCUCUCUUUUAAAGGCCUAGUGAUCAGAAGACACUGGGCCCAUCCAAAUAAUCCAGGAUAAUCUUUCCAACUCAAAUCUUAAUCACAGCCGCAAAAUUCCCUUUUGCCACAUAAAGAGCAUAUUCAUGCUUCUGGAGAUUAGGAUGUGGACAUCUGUAGGGGGCCAUUAUUCUGCCUAUCACAGUGGUCCACUGUAAAAAAGGGCUUUCAGGAUUGAAACCCAUUAUAUAAGACCUAUUUAGAGGAGGGGUAAUGCCCCCUCCCCCACACUUCUCCAUUUCCAAAUUUGGCCUGUUCUUAAACUAGGAAAAUAUGCAUGGCACCUCCUGGUGAAUUACCUCAACUUCAGUGCUCUGGUCCCAUCCAAUAAGGAUCACAAACCCAAUAAUACUGAAAUGACUGACCCUCCAGGCAGCAGUUGAUCAAUAUUUUACUGUUACAGAUUUGGCUAGUAUGUGGUGUUUAGUGCCUGUUUCAAUAGCCUCUCAGUAGUAGUUUGCCUUUAGCCCUAGGGCCAUGACACAUCUUAACCAGGCUACCCUUAGAGUACCUCAGUAGCCUUGACAUCACUUACAAUCAGUCUUUCUAGGCAAGAUCAAUUGUAUCCAUCUUUCUCUAGGAAGACAGGUAUGGACAUGACAGUGAAGCCAUCCUAUCCUCCUCUGACACACAUUCAGGACAUUAUAAAUACUCAUAAAGGGGGUCAAUGAAAGGGAAUGGGCCAUUGUCUACACAUAAUAGUAGGCCCAACUACCUCAGUUAAGUUCCUAAAAUUAUUUGGCAAGCCAUAGGCUUCUCCAUCCCUGACACUGUCAAGACACAGCCAUUGAUUCUGAACACCUACAAUGUUAAAACAAGCCCAAUAUCUUUUGUCUUCUUGGGUUCUGGAGGCAAUGUAUUCCUCAAUUACAAAUUUUACUUAAGUCCAUCUGUUACAUGCAGAUCAGUCCAACCUGAAUGGGGUCCCACCCAACAAAAGGCUCUAAAAUCUGUUCAAAUUGAAAUACAAGGGCACUCCCAUUAAGUACCCCAAGAGAGUCCUUCACUACUGAGGUUUUACCAACCUUUUUCAUGCCUCAUAGUCUCUGGACCAUCAUGAUGGCCGUAAGUUGCCUAUUAGCUUGUGAUGCAAGACACUGCCCUCCUUAGCCCCACAGUACAUACCAUUAGAACAGCAACUGCUAGUCACAUCCAGGGUUUUGUUGGAAAUAGAGGCUCUCACAAAGAGUCUGUGAUCCUUUAUACCCAAAUAGGGUCUCAUCAUGGAAGCAGCACUUUGGCACCACUAUCGAGGCCUCCUUGCUAUAAUAUGGAGCCAGGCUUGGGAACUCUGGUGUAUCCCACCUGUAGCAGAAUGGUCUCCUCAUCCUCAGUUUCUUCCCAGAUGUCAUGUGCUGGAGGAGGCCACCCCUUGUCUAGACCCCUUGACUACCUGGGCAUCUGCUUAGGAUUACCUGAGUAAACAGCAAAAUAAGUGUAUAUUUUGUGCAUGUCACCAUCAUCAUAUGUGGAAUUUGCUGGAGAGGAUACUUUUCAUUCCUUAACCCAGAUGUUCAUGAUCAAAGAUGGACACAAGGGUCAGCACAAUUAGCUAAACCUCAGGCAGUCAUUUUAGGAUUGAAUGGCUUGGCUAACAACUGGCCCCAUCUGCACAUUUUUAUGGACUCUUGAGCUACUGACAAAGGUUUGGCCAUAUGGUCCAGUCAAUGGCAGCAACAAUGUCUUAUACAUAGUUACCCUCUUUGGGGUAACAAAUUCUGGGAAUCUCUUGCCUUACAGAUACCCAGAUAUAAGUGAAGGUCACACAUAUCUCUGUACAUACUAAAGCCAGAAGACAAGGCCUCACCAAGACACUCCUUACCGCCUUCAGAAUUCUGCAUAUUUAUAAUGACUAAGGCAUUUCACUUUUCAAAAUACACAAUACGGAGCUUCCAACAAGGCAUUUAUUAGGAUUUUCACCUCCCUUACAGGUCUCAGGCUCUUAGCAUUAAAAAAUUAGUAUGAGAAUUCCCAUAUACCCUUCACCCAGCUCCACUAAUGUUCACAUGUUAUAUGAUACAUGCUAUCACAAUGAGGAAGAUAACAUUGAUAGACUAUGAAAAACCAAUUUACAGACCUUACUCCACUUUUUCCAGUUUUUCUGCCAAUAUAAUUUGCUAGUCCACAAUCUAAUCCAUAAUCACACAUUGCAUUCAGUUGUCCUCAGUCUCCUCAAAUCUGUGACAGUUUUUGUUUUAAUGACCUUGAUACUUUUGAAGAAAACUGGUCACUUAUAGAAUGGCCCAUGUCUUAGGUUGAGGUUAUGCAUUUUGGCAAGUGUACCACAGAAGUGAUGUGCCAUUUGAGAAGCAUCUCAUGGGGUGGUGGGGGCGGGGAGAGGGUGAUGUUGAUAUGAUGAUAUGUCUAAUCACUGGCAAUGGCAGUGUUAAUCUGCAAUAUUUGGUUAAGUUUGUGGCUGGCUGCCUGGUUUCCCCACAGUAAAUUUACUAUCCAUUUGCUUUGUAAUUGUUAAGUAUCUUGUGGAGAGAAAGUUUGAGACUAUCCAAAUGCCCUGUUUUUCUUUUCUUUUCUUGAGAGAGAAAGAAUGAGACAGAGAGAGAGCAUGAGACGGGGUAGGGUCAGAGGGAGAAGCAGACUCCCUGCUGAGCGGGGAGCCUGAUGUGGGGCUCGAUCCUGGGACUCCAGGAUCAUGACCUGAGCCGAAGGCAGUCACUCAACCAACUGAGCCACCCAGGCGCCCCCAAAUGCCCUGUUUUUCAUCAUCCACUACUUUUAACACCAAACAGUGCUUCUCUGUCUGCAACAGUUUUUGCAGUGAUAUUUAUCUAAUGGCUUUCUUCCCUAUUUUUAAUAUUAAUUCAUUGAAAUUCAACUAUAUGAUUUUCACUGUUUAUUAACUUAUUUAUUUAUGUUAGUACAGAUACAUAUUUAUUUAUUUUGUUGCUCAAUUGUCCCAGCGUUGUUGAUUCGGAGCUCCUCCCAAAUUAGAUGAUGUCUACUUUUGAUGUCUCUACUAUUUUUUUUCCUGACUUAUUAUACUUUAUUAUUGCAUUUAUCCAGUAGGAUAAAAAUCUUUCAUAACCUCUGCUGGGGGUCAUGUUAUACACUCAGCCAAUAAACAGAAACAUUUUAAAAUUAAAUGCUUUAGUCAUACUUAUUACAUAAUCAUCUGCCCUUUUUGAAGAGGGAGAUUCAAAGACAUAGUUGAUUCUUUUAUAGUCACAAAGGUAAUUUUUAUCUAACUCAGAAAUAACCACUUUCUCUGAAUGGGACUGCAAAUUAACCGGACCAAGUCAGAAAUAAAAUAAAUACCCCAGAGUUUUUGUAUCUCUACAAUUCUAACUAAUUAAUACUUUUCUUGUGCUUUUAAUGUUAUACUAAAGUUUUGUGAUUCUGUAAGUGAAUCUCUUUAAAUGAAAUUCUGAGUCUGAAAUUUCAUCUAAAACAGAUUAUUCCAUCUACAUUAUAUAUUCAUAGUGUUAAACUCAAUUAAGUAUAUAAUUCAGAUAUCUUUGGGAAGAAGUAAAAUUAAGUACUAUAGACAUGAAGUAAACAUUUACCACAUUUGUGGAUAUUAAAGCUUAAGAUAAUUUUGAGGAAACGGAAUGAGACACCAAUUGAACUGUCUAAACUAACAACUCAUAUAUUUAAUAUAAAUAAUCAAUACAUUAUUCUAGAUCUCCUCAGCUAUAUGCCUUUUUAUACUUUGCUUAAGAAAAUGGAAACUGGGGCGCCUGGGUGGCUCAGUUGGUUAAGCGACUGCCUUUGGCUCAGGUCAUGAUCCUGGAGUCCCGGGAUCGAGUCCCGCAUCGGGCUCCCUGCUCAGCGGGGAGUCUGCCUCUCCCUCUGACUCUCCCCCUCUCAUGCUCUCUCUAUCACUAUCUCUCUCAAUAAAUAAAUAAAAAUCUUUAAAAAAAAAUGGAAACUAAUUGUUACUAAACUUAUUUUAUAAACAUGCUUACAUGCAUGUAUUUGUUUUCAUACAUGUAUUCUUUUUUUUUAAUUCAUUACUUCAGAUUUAUUUUCCACUUUAAAGAUGAAACAUACUUUCAAAAAAAUUUGGCAUUAUAGUAAAGUGAGAAAAAAUUAAAAAUAAUUGUGCAAUCAUCAAAAUAAAAAGAAUUCAACAUUUUGCUGAAUUUCCUUUUUUGAACACACAUAUACAAUUUUUAUUAUAUGUAUUAUAUUCUGAUUUUACCAAUCUUUAAACAAUGCUUUGAAAUUUAAAGAAAAAGUAGCUUUGCGCAGUGGCAGUAUCGUAGCCAAUGAGGUUUAUCCGAGGCGUGAUUAUUGCUAAUUGAAAUUUAAAGAAAAAGUAAUUAUGGAAGAAUAUUUAGAUAAUAAUUAUUGUGAAGAUCAGAAUUCAGUGGCUAGAAUUCUUUUUUUAAUACAUGUAUUCUUAACCCUUUAUUGAAUGUUUGCUUCAGUUAGAUGACAUUAAAAUGUAAAUUUACCAGGAGUUUCUAAGAAGUUUGUAAGAAUAUGAAACAUAGAAAAUAAUUUGGUUUUUAGCUACUUUUAAUCUAUCUUGAUUUUUGUGAAGCAUCAAUUUAUAUGGUAAAGUUCUAUACAAGCCCAGUUUAUCAGUCCAUAUACCUUCUUUGUGGAUUUUUCAAAGUCUAUGAGGACAUGACCUCUGUCUACUUUCUGAGGAAAAGAAAACAAGGGGAAUAAUAAAAUUUUAACUUCCUUCCUAGAAAAACAUCAAGGGAAUCAUGAGAUACAGCCACAAGUUGAUAGAAGGCAGUGAACCAUUGAAACUGCAUUGUGCAAUUUGCACAGAGCUGUCAAGUGAACUCACUCAGAAGUGAGUACAGAUGGUAGGGAAAAAAGGCUUUAUUUCAUGGUUUAAAAACAAAACAAAAAAAGAACUCUUUUUUAAAUGAUAAUUGAAACAGAGGGGUAAACACAGAGUUAACAAUAUUAAAAUCAUGGUUAGUAAAUAGUGAUCACCACUAUUUUUAACAGUAUUUUCAGGAUAUAUAAAACCAAGAUCAGUAUCCUAAGGGACAUACCAAUUGGAGUGUUUGAAAAAAAAUUAAUUUUAAAGAAGGAACUAUACAUGAACUUAGAGAUUUGCACUGGCUUCACUGUGGCCGGUCACCUCAGAGGUCCCAAGACACUGGAGUAAGCUUCUAUAACACUAUUAUCAGUCUCGAGUAGGAUAUAGUUACUUCUGAAUCAAAGGUCAUUUGGUUUUCAUAUGGAUUUGUCCAACCAUCUCCCUACCAAAUGUUAACUGCACAAUUGCUGAAAUCAUGGGUUCUUCAUCACCUCUCCUGGUUGAGUUCCAGGUCUAUUUCAAACUGAAAUUAAAGGUAGAAGGCAAGUAAUAGUAGUAGUAUUCUUCUACUUGAGCAUGUUCUCUCAAAGUGGAGACUCUCAACAGCUAUAUUUUUGGUAGUUGGUUGGUCAGCCUGUUUAUUUCUAAGAUCAGUUUGGAAAAAGCAAUGUGCAAAAAAACUGAGAUCCAUGUAACAGGUAGUCAGAAAGAGGUGUCAUUUUAUGUGACAGUCCCCCAAUUGGCCCUGGGCCAUCUUAUUUCUCUGGCUUGUUUUCCUGAUGUCUCUGUAAUAACAGAUCUAUUAUGGAUUAUAUGUUCAGCUUAGACUAUUUUUUUUCUUGUAAUUUUGCCAGACAAAAGAAGAUAUAAUCACAAAAUAUGCUGGAAAGAACCUUAAAAAUAUUUUAUGCUAACUUCUGAUGUUACAAAAGUGAAAAUUCAGGUCCAGGUAGGACACAUGACUUGUCUAAAAUCCUAUUUCUCCUUGCGUCAGAAAGAGGAAAAGCAAAAUCUCCUAACUCACACUCUGAGGUUUUAAUUUUUUUGUUGUUGUUCUUUCUUUGAAUUUUCAACUCUAAUGCUAAAAGAAGUCUCUACUAUUUUUUUAACCACUUCUUUGAGUUGGUUAUGCUUCGGGCCCAUCUUGUAUUUUCCUAGCUCUGGAUUCAACAUUUUUCUAAGAAGCUCUAUUUCUUUUCAUUAAAGAAUAGUAUUUAGAAGCCAAGAUAUAGCUAUUCGGUGUGCUUGUUGCUUCUGUGUCAUUGCUUUUAGGUCCUUUUAGCAGACAGAGGUAGGAAACAUGCAUAUGUUUAUUAACACAUUCACCUGUAUCCAUAUUUGUGUAUCUAUUCCUCUAUGUAUUAAAAGCCAUAAGUUAGUACUGAUGUCUCUCGUUCUAAUCUAACACCAUGAGGUUCACUCUAGCUUCCCCCCUCCUUAUUUGUAGCCAGAUAUUAAAACAUUAUAAAGCUAUAUAGUAAGACAAGUUGAUCAGUCAUCUUCCUGAAGUCUCCAAUUGUUAAGAGUUUGGAGUUAACUCCAAAACUGAGUUACAGUUUUUACUCUAUAACAGUUAAAAUGGAAAACUUUCUGUUUCAUUUUUGUCUAAGACUCCAGAGAUGGAGAUUAAUAGGUGUCAAAAUUUUAAGAUAUAGUCAGAUGAUGUAAUAUAGAGUGAGUAAAAAUGUUGUUUACUAAAUAAGUGACAAGGAAUACUUUUUAUUGUAUGACAGUAUGGCUUAAUAUGCUAGUUGUUAAAAUUUUCUAUGUUAUGUGCACAUUCUAUUUUCUAAACUAGAGAUUAUUUAAAACAGGAACAAGAGCCCUGCUACAUGACACAGUCUCCCUGCCAAGGGUGGUCCCCUCAGCUCUUUUAGCUGAUGCCUCUGAUAUUGAUGUUUAUUCCUAAUUAAUUCCUAAUUCCUAAUAUUCCUAAUUAAUAUUCUUGGCCUGGUAUUUCUUAAUCAAUUUUAACUUCUAAAAUUAAAAAAUUUUUAAUUUUGACUUUCCAUACAGGUUUUAGAAUUCCCGUGCCACGCUCCCACUUCUCUUUCACCCAGUAGGUUAUUGGUUAAACCCAGUAGUAUACACAUAAUUAUAAUUAUACACUGUUAAGACAAGUGACACAUGAAGUUCACAGUCUCUGAAGUAGAACUUUUUCCUGAAGUUAAUUGCCAUGUUUUUUGAAAAACCCUCCCAUGUAUUUAUCACUUAAUUUUACUAAGAGUCCAAUAAUACUGUCAUAUGCCUAUCAAUAAUAUUUUCCAUACAGCCACAUACAUUAGUUCUUUGUUUUUUCUCCUGAGACCUUUCUUACAGAGCCUUCUGCCUUGCUCCAAAAUGGAGGGACUUAACUGACAUUUGGCUGCUAGGAGUUAUUUUUACCUAGAUGUCACUUUUGCAUAUCAUACUAGAACUUGGCUUCAAUAACCCCUGUCUGUGAUGCUUCCUUUGGGGGGUUGUAGGGGUGGGGAGGGAGUUAGGGAGCCCUAUGUCUUCUCAUGCAUUCUCAUUACCUCCAGCUUGUACUCUACUAGCCCCACCCCCUAAGAUGAGGAAGGCUAUGAGAAGCCUGUGGCAGACCCAAAUUAGGUGUGACUACCACUCAUGUAACCCUAGCAUUCAGGACCUAACAUGUUUGGAUACAAAAUAUCAAUCCUAACCACAGUCAAGCCAUUAUUACACAGUGAGCCUCCGUGGUUGGCAAUACUAUGUGCAUAUUGUCACAAUACAUUGCCAAGAAGAGUUAAUACUGUCCAUGAUUCCAUGAGGAGAGGAAACCUGGAAACUCUGAGUUUGGACCUCUCCUGGACUCUACCCUAUACUUCUCUUCACUUGCCUGAUUUUAAUCUCUAUCUUCUCUGUAUAAGCCAUACCCAUGAGUGAGCUCUGUUAGUCCUUCUAGUGAAUUACUGAAAUGAGGGUGGUUUUGAAGACCACUGUCACAAACUUACAAAUGGUGUCAGAAGCAAAGGGAGUCUUGGACUGUGCUCUAACUCUGCAGUUGGUGUGAGAAAUGGACUUUACCAGAAAGACCCUCACAAACUUAAAUGUGUAGUUUGAGAAGAGAAAGGAGGAGUGAGAAAUGAUAAACUUUUCUUCCUGGGUGACCAUAGGGUCACCUACAGUAUGGAACUAUAGCUGUGUUGUGAUCAGUUACUCGAGGUAAAAGUUACCAAUGGGAUUUAGAAAUGAUGGAUCUAACUCCCGGGGAGUUGGCUCACUGUAUGCAUAAGGAAAUGCAAAGUAACAAGAAAUAACACAAUCCCUUUGUUAUUGUGGCCCUCUGAUAGUUAUAAUAAAAGGAAAGGAAAAUGUUGGCGUAGGUCCUGAUGCUGGGCCAACCUUAGGUUGUGGCAGGUCCAAACUACAUCCUCUAGUCUCAGAGCUGCUACUGAUGGGAAAAGUUAAAAUGAAAAUAAGAACAGUGUGGGCCAACCUCGAAAUCUGCUGGUCGACGCUAUAGCUGUUAGCCUCAGGGCUGCUACCAAAGGGAAAGUCAUGCUUAACAACAGAAAACUAUGAAAGUCAGAGUGAUUUUUAGGAGAAUGGGGAAAGACAAAAGGGGAGAACUAGGCCCAGCUUUAAAUGGUUGGAGACCUUUAAAUGUUAAGAAAUGGGAUGAACUGAUGGGGAAAAGCAAAGGUCUUAAGGUAGCACUCUUAGAGGUUGGGUAGACAGAUGGGGAGUCUCUGUUAGUCCCCAACUUUGAAAGGUCCUAUACAAACCUACUUUAUUUACUCUAGUUUGGAAUAAUUUAAAAAGCUAAAAGGCAGAGUGACAAUGAGAAACCUGACUUUGGGGUGAUGCUCCUACAAUCUAAUCCGUAUACAGAUUGACAAAAGGGCCACCAUCCUUUGGCCUAAUCCCCAGCUGAGGAUCCAAAGACCAUAUGCACAGGAGUGGGAAAAUGGUCAGGAAGUGAAGGAGAGACUUUUCUGGAACUUGUCAUUGGCAUGCGCCUGAUAUACUGUGAUGCAAAACCUGCUGGUGAAGUCCUAAGGGAAGCUACAUUCAGGUUGGGAGGAUGUGGGAUGCUGUGUUUGAGGGUAUUAAGGUGACAGUUUGGGUAAAAGUUGGAAUAAUUCAACAGAUUUUGUAUGAAGUGUUUAUAUCUUGUUUAUCUGAAUAAAUUAUGGAAGUAGAUAUUAUAUCUGACUAGGGAACAUUUCACCUACCUAGUAUUGUAGAACAGAAGGCACAUAAACCUGCCCUUUAGUGAUAUUGAUUAAACAUGCUCAAUAGCAGCAACUAAGAUUACCCAAGCCCACACAGAUUAUUAGUUUAAUAGACUGGAAUCACUGACCGAAAAAGAGAUUACCCCAUUUGCCCUAUUAGAAGCCAGAGUGCUGGUGUGGACAGAUGCUCUGAACAGUCACCCUGUAUGGAGCACAGGCUGAGGCUUACAGCAAAAGCCAAUGGUGACUUCUGGGGCUUUAUACCAGAAAAUUCCCAUUAGAGAGACAACUACUAGCUUGCUAUUGGACAUUAAUUAAAACUGCCCCUAUUACUGAAAGACAGAAAAUAAUUCUGAACCCUAAAAUACUCUUCAUAUUUUGGGUGAUGGAGGGCAGUAUCCAAAAGAGUUCCAUACUAAAAUGUAAAUAGUUUGUGCAGAAACAGUCUACCAGGGAAAUGCAAAGACAUAUUUAUAAUAUUCACAAGCAGAUAGCCACUUUUUCUGAGAACCAACUUUGGAAUCACCUGAGGAGCUUCCUGAUCCUAUUGCCACUGGACAGUGCCCUGUAAAGAGCUUUCUAUAGACUAACAAAGAACUACUUAGUGUAUGGAUGACAAUUCUAUGGUGAAUGGACAGCAUCUGGUUUGGAAAGCCACCACACUAGGACUGACUGAUAGAAAAUCUGUUUGAAAAAGUAAAAACAAAUCAGCUCAGUAGACCAGUUGUGUGCUAUUCUACCCUAGUUUGGGUUUUUAUCAACUCAUGAGUAGUGGCUAAUGGUCUGGCUAUAUAGUUAGACAGAUGUGCAGUAGAAAACUGGACCAUUAAAGGGAUGCCUACAUGGGUCAUGACCUUAUGGAAGUUUAGGAGGCACAUUAAAAUAGGUCUCGUCAAAAACCAUCAGAAGAAUCUUCAUGAGGGGCGCCUGGGUGGCUCAGUCAUUAAGCGUCUGCCUUCAGCUCAGGUCGUGGUCCCAGGGUCCUGGGAUCGAGCCCCACAUCGGGCUCCCUCCUCGGCGGGAAGCCUGCUUCUCCCUCUCCCACUCUCCCUGCUUGUGUUCCCUCUCUCACUGUCUCUCUCUCUGUCAAAUAAAUAAAAAAUCUUAAAAAAAAAAAAAAAAAGAAUCUUCAUGAUCAGAAGGUGACUGGAACUGUCAAAUGGAUAUUUUGGUGUCCUCACUUGAAGUGGCCACCCGAGUGCAUGAAACAAGUGGAGGUGGGAGAGCAGAAGCAAUACAGAGAUGCCUGUAGGAAGGCCCCACACAAAGCUGGAAAGUAUAUGAAACUGGAUUGGUACUUGCAGCUCUGGGUGUCUAUGAUUACAUUUCUUUCCCCAUCACCUCAGCUUUCUUUGUUCCUAUCUGAUGUAAUGAUUCUGGGACCAGUCCUGAAACUCUGUUUGUUGGAAGCAGGGAUGAUCCUUAAGCAAGAAACAAUAAUUAUACCUUUAAAUCUUUACAUCAGGAUUCCUAAGGGCCUGAAUGAGUGGAAUGUGCCUUCACCCUUUCUGGCAAAAUUGGGAUUUGCCAUUUGGUGUACAACUCCUGGCAGACUGAUCACUUGUAUAACUAUAAAUUUCAAUGACCAAAUGCUUGUAAGAGUCCCUGGCUAUCAUGGACAAAAUAUAGCAGUGGCAUACCUGACUUGCCACAGUAUGCUCUGCACAAAUACUUAUCACUCUUGUUUUUGUACAUGAAAAUAAAUAAAAUAGAAAAAUACAGUGUGUUUCUGAUAAAGUUAAAACCAUAGGCAUUAUCUGGUGGGUCUGAAUUUCCCUGAGGAAAGCCCCACCCCCUAAGAUGAGGAAGGCUAUGAGAAGCCUGUGGCAGACCCAAAUUAAAUUACACAUAGGUGUGACUACCACUCAUGUAACCCUAGCAUUCAGGACCUAACAUGUUUGGAUACAAAAUAUAAAUCCUAACCACAGUCAAGCCAUUAUUACACAAUGGCAACAAUAUGCAUGGCAGAUUAAACAAAAUUGGCCCAAAGACAGAGGCUUUAGGGGAGACAAAUACCAGUCUAGGCAUCAUGGAACAAGUUGAAUUCACUUUUCUUGAGGAAUAGCAUUCAAAGGAAAAAAGAUUUAUUAAUCAAAAUAAGCAGAUUAGAGGGAAUUAUCUUCCAGGAGGAAGGCAAAGGAUGGAAGUCAGCUCAGAAAGAUAAUAAAACUGUAGGAUCAGUGUUAUGGACUGAACUGUGUCCUCCAAAAAGCUAUGUAGAACUUCUAACCUUUAGUACCUGUCAAUGCAAACCUAUAUGGAAGUAGGGUCUUGGCAAAUGUACUCAAGUUAAGAUGAGGUCAUUUGGAUGAACCUUAAUCCACUGUGACUGGUGUCCUUUUAAUAAGAGAAGAGACAGAGAACUGAACAUCAUAUGAUGAUGGAAGCAGAGGUUGGAGUGAUGCAUCUACAAAGUGAGGAAUACCAAAGAUUGUUGCCAAACACAAGAAGCUAGGAAGGGGCAGGAAAGGAUCCUCCUCCCAGAGACCACAGAGAGACAAUUACCCUGCCACCAUGUUGUUUUCAGAUUUCUAGCCUCCAGAAUUGUGAGACAAUAAAUUUCUGUUGUUUUUAAGAUGUUUUGUGGCACUUUGUUAUGUCAACCCUAGGAAACUAAUAGCGACAGGAAGACUCAAACAAUCCUAGAUAAUGCUAGGACCCCAUGUUGGGAGGGUGCUUGUAUCCUGAUCCCACAGUAACUUUUUACUAUCUUAAUAUAGAUGAAAGCUGAUGUACUCAUGGACAAUGACCCUCCAUCCUAGCUGCUCAACGGGGCAUGCCUACAGGAAUCUUAGGGACCUCCAAAUAUGAAAAUUCUCUGGAGCACUUGUAAUUUACACUGCAGCACUGAUAGCCCUCAGAGUAAGAUAUCCUGUAGUACAAUUAACAGGGAAAGGAACUAUUCUGGAUAGAAAGAAAGUAAGCCCUGAUAUAGAACAGCACACAAUGGAAACCAGUUUCACUACAAGUCUGUAAACUGAGACAGGGUAUUUAGCUUCAUCCCCAACUGAGUUGGAACCCGGAAAUAACUGAAUCAUGGCCAAUUAUAAUGACACCUGUCCAUAAUAUCUGGUAUAUGGUCAUGGACUGAUUCUGUUAAGGCAUACCAAAUACCACUGAAAUUCUGGUUUUUUUCCUGUAACCAAAUUGUACCAUAAUGAUACUGCAAUAUUGUGUAACACUGGUGUUGGUAAGAGUCAAUACCCUAUGUAAAUAAGUUAUAUAAUACUAAAAAAUUAACUUAAAUCUUCCUCAAGAUGUAAUAUUAAUAGAAAAAUGACUGGCCUGAGGAAGAAAUGGAUUUAGCUAUCAACUAAUUUCUAUGUUAAAUAGUCUGUACAAGAUUAUCAUAAGGUACAAAUAAUAGUGGAUUAAAGAGGGGAAACAAUCAAAUUAGUACAGAAAUAUGAAAAUACAUGUAAUGAUUUACAGGAUGGGUUAGUGGUUUCUUUAGCUCUAUCCCUACUCCACACUGGAUCCUCCAAGUAUUAGGCAUAUUCAUACUGAUACUAUUGCUGUACCAAAUAUGAUUAUUUUGCUAUAAGGAAGCCUGGGCCAAGAACUAGGGUCUGGCCUGUGCAGUAAAGAGUUAACCCUGUACAAAGAAAUGUUAGAUUCUUGCUCAGCUCAUGGGAGGUAACCUCUAAGGCCUUAGAGCAUCCUGCCUGAUGAGUGUCUUUGUUUACUUGAGGGCCUUGGACUAUAACCGAUAGUGUAAUUUGGUGUGAUUUACGGUAGGGUCUAUGAGCCAUGUGGUAAGCUUGACCUCUGGAGAGGCUAGAGACAGGGCAACCAUGUGCUCCUUCAGUCAUGCCUAUGGAACUGACCCCCAACAAAAACCCCAAACACUAAGAUUUGAGUGAGCUUCUUGUAUGUCAGUACUCCAUAUGUGUAAUCACACAUUAUUACUGGGAGAAGUAAACACUCUACAUAAUUCCACUAGAAGAAAACAAAUGGAAACUCAUGACUGGAACUUUCCUAGGCCUUGCCCUGUGUGUGUUUCUCUUUGCUGAUUUGAAUGUGUAUUCUUUCACUGUAAUAAGCUGAAGCUGUGAAUAUCCUAGCUUUUCUGAGUUUUGUCUUCUUAGUGAAUCACUGAUCCUGAGGUCUUGAGAACCUCCCAACUACAGCCCAAUUCCCUUUGUCCAAAAAGGGGGGUAAAAAUGAAGCUGUUCAAUGAUUGUGUGGAUAAGGAAUAACAUAUGCAGAGUAUCUGGCAUAUAAAUAAAUGUUCAUUCUAUGGUUGCUAUUAUUAUCGAAGAACUUUUUACCUCAGGUAGGUUUAAGACAAAAAACUAAGGGUUAAAGACACUAAAAUGGACUCCAAAAGAACCAGAGAAAAACUAUCCUAAGAAAGAGCUCUAGAGGGGCACCUGGGUGGCUCAGUCAUCAAGUGUCUGCCUUCGGCUCGGGUCAUGGUCCUGGGGUCCUGGGAUCAAGCCCCACAUCAGGCUCCCUGCUCGGUGGGAAGCCUGCUUCUCCCUCUCCCACUCCCCCUGCUUGUGUUUCUGCUGUUGCUAUCUCUCUCUCUCUGUCAAAUAAAUAAAUGAAAUCUUAAAAAAAAAAAAAAAAAGAAGAAGAAGAAAGAAAGAGCUCUAGAAAUCUAUAUGGUGAUCCCCAUGAGACUGCGUACUAAACCAUGCAUACACAGGAUGAAGGUAUAUUAAGACCAGGCAAAGAAUGACAUCAAAGCUUUAAUCUGAACACUUCCAGAGCUCACAGGGUGAUAAGAAAUGUUUGAGUUCUGACCAGCCAGUGUGGAGACUUCACUGAAUAUCUGCAGCUCAAUAAAGAUCCCAAAAUGGUCAGUCCAUAGUAACAGAAUUAAAGCAGCUCACAAUACUGGGUGAUGGGCAUUAAGAGGGCACAUGAUGUGAUGACCACUGAGUGUUACAUACAACUAAUGAAUCACUGAACAUUAUAUAAAAAACUAAUGAUGUACUAUAUUUUGGCUAACUGAAUUUAAAUAAAGUAUCUCACAAUAAAUACUAUUCUAAAUAUGUCCUAACAAAAUUUGAUAAUAAUAACCUUGAAAGGAUCAAUCUUAUCAUCAAAUACUUGACUGUAUGCAGGAACAAAAUCCAACAGUUUUUAAGGGAGAUUAACAAAUUCAGCAUUUAACAACAACAUUCAUGAUGUCCACCAUCCUAUCAAAAAUUACUAGACAUGGUAGAAGCAGGAAAAUAUGAACAAAAUCAAGUGAAAUGGUCAACAGAAAUGACAGAGAUGAUAGUUUUCAGACAAAAAUGUUAAGACAACUAUUAUAAAUAUGUUUAAUAAGCUUAUAACAUUAGAGGAGUGUGAAUAUAAUGGAGAGAGAAAUUGAAGAUACAGUAAAAGAACCAAGAGGCAUUUGGGGAACAUAAAAAUAAUGAAUGAUUUUUACAGCAGAUUACACAGUUCAGAAAAGAAGAAAUUGAUUUUGAAAACAAAGAAAUAAAAAUUUUCAAAAUGAGGCAGUGUGAGAAAAAAACAACAGUAGCCUGUGAGAUAAUAUCAAGUGAUCCAAAAUACAUGUAACUGGAAUUUGAGAAGACGGGAUCAGAAAAAAAUAUUUGAAAGAAGAAUCGCUAUUUUCAAAAUUAGAUGAAAACUAUAAAUCCACAUAUCUGACUACUUCAAGGAACACAAACAGGAUAAAUAUAAAGAAAAUCUAGCUAGGUUCUUCAAAAUCAAUUUUUGAAAAGUAGCGAUAAACAGAAAGCUUUAUAAAGCAGCCAGAGGAAGAAGACUCAUUUAAAAAAGGAACAAAGAAUUCCUUGACCUUCCACCAGAAACUAUGAAAGCAGUAACAUAAUUGGAAGACAUUUUUAAAGUACUGGGAGAAAUGGUCAGUCUAGAAUUUUAUAUCUACUAAAGAUUGCCUUAAAUGUGCCAAAGCUCUGAGGUUCUGCAUUCAGCCAAGAUGGAGUAACAGAAACUACUUUUACUCUCCCUCCUGAAACAACCAAAAAAAAAAAAAAAAAAAAAAGGAAGGAAGGGAAGGAGAGAGGAAAAUGAUUUUUUUCAGGAAUAUUUCUGCAUAUCAGGCAAUGAAGAAUUGUGAUUCAUGAGGGACAAAAAACAAAACCCUAUGAUUGCCUCAUCUUACUGCCUUAAGAGAGAUUAUAGUAUGCAGCACAGAAAAGAAGUGAGAGAGAGCUCAGCAGACUCUCUGAAUUGAAGAGAUGUAGCUGAGAGUCAGGAGUAAUCAAGGCAAUAGCUGUCCAGAGGAAUACUAAAGAAGAGAGAGCUAGAGUGAGGGAAUUCUAAGAUCUUCAGGUCACUUUUGAGUGUUCAGCAGAGUACUAAUCAGUAUAUUUCCUAGAUAGUCUCCCACUACCAGAAGCUGGCAAAACAACAACAACAACACAAAACAAAACAAAACACUCAAUAUUCUGAAGGGAACCAUACCCAGCUCUCACACAAAGCAAGGAAGAAUACCUGCUCCCACCAGUUAGAGUUCAUAAUUCGUGAUGUAUUGGUAGACUAUUCAGCAAUGUCUUGCCUUAAUAGUGGGGAUGGGACUGGUCAGUAAAAAGAGUAGUAAUGCUCUGGAUUCUCCUAACAAAUCAUAAAAGGAUGAAACUAUUUUUAAGUAACUUGACCCCAGAACAAAGCUCAAGAAUAUUUAGAGGAAUACAAAAUCCAGCGAUCAAGGUAAAAUGCAAUGUGUAGUGUUCAAAGAUUACUAUGCAUGCCAAGAGGCAAAGGAAAAAAGAACACAAUGGUGAGAAUUUUUUAAUGAAAAUUAACCCAGAAAUGACAAAUAGUAUUAGCAGAAAACAUUUAGCAAAUUAUAUAUUCCAAAUGUUCAAAACUGAAGUAAGGACAGACAUACAAUAUAUUUUUAGGCAUUCAGCUUCAAUUUCUAGAGUUGUAAACUCAACAGUUUGAGUUGAAUUCAAAUGUUUGAGUUGAAAAAUACAAUGCCUGUGUUUAGUGGUGAAUUACACAUUGCAGAAGAAAUGACCAGUGAACCUGAAAGUAAAGCAAUAGAAACUUAUCUAAUAUGAAAGAAAAAAUUCUAUAAAAGAGAAUUAGUGAGCCAUGAGAUUACUUCAAGCAGCCUAAUUAUGAGUAUUUAGAAUCCUCUCAAAAAAAAAAGAGUAGAAGCAGAAAAUUUUUUUAAACAUUUAUUUAUUUGAGUAGGCUCCAUGCCCAAUGUGGAGUCCAAUGCAAGGCUUGAACUCAUGAUCCUGAGAUCAAGACCUGAGCUAAGAUCAAAUGUCAGACACUCAACUGGCUGAGCCAUCCAGGUGCCCCAAAGCAGAAAAAUUUUUGAAUAAUGACUGACAAUUUACACCCAACAAUCUUAAUGAGCCCAUAGCACGAGAAACAUUUUUUUGACACUUGAUCUUAGCUAAAAGGCCGAGAAGCGGUAACAAGAAACAUUUUUUAAAAAAAGCAUUAUACAUCAUAAUCAAAUUACUCAAAGGCCUUAUGGGUAUAUCAGGAUUCAAGAGUUUUAUUUUCUUUAGUUAUUGGGGAAGUUUGAGUACAGCAAGCUAUUAUGCGUCUCUCAAAUGGUAUGUGUUGUACCACAGUAUCCAGAAAUGUUAUCAUCCAAAACCUGACUGCUUGCUGCUGGGUGGUUCUCCCUGACUUUAAAAAUAAGGCACAGUUUGGGGUGCCUGACUGGCUCAGUCAGUUAAGGGACUGCCUUUGGCUCAGGUCAUGAUCCCAGGGUCCUGGGACUGAGCCCCAUGUCGGGCUCUCCACUCAGUGGGGAGUCUACUUCUACCCCUCCCUCUGACCCUUCCCCCACUCAUGUGUGUGCAGACUCUCUCUCUCUCUCGAAUAAAUUUUUAAAAAUCUUAAAAAAAAAAUAAGGCACAGUCUAAAAUCCACAUAGAGCUUUGGACAGAAUUUGUUGGUACCAGCACUCCAGUUUCUAACAGGGCAUCAAAGUGGUAAUAUCUUUUUGACCACCAGGUAUUCUAUUUCAAAUUAAAAAAUAAUUUCAGCUUUGGCAAUUCUGUUGGUUUCCAUUUAGAAUGUCUAUUCUAUUUCAAAUUAAAAAAUAAUUUCAGCUUUGGCAAUUCUGUUGGUUUCCAUUUAGAAUGUCUAUUUAAUAUUGGCUAAAUAGUCCAUUUACAUGCCUUCUGUUUCACAACACUAGGUAAGGGAAGUAUUCCUAGGCAAAUAUAAUGUCCAUUCUUUUUUUUUUUUUUUUUUUAAGAUUUUAUUUGUUUGAGAGAGACAGCAUGAACAGGCGAGGGGCUCCCCUGAGCAGGGAGCACAAUGGGGCUCGAUCCCAGGACUCUGGGAUCAUGACCUGAGCCGAAGGCAGAUGCUUAACCAACUGAGCCACCCAGGCACCCCUAUAAUGUCCAUUCUUGUCAUAUGUUCAGGUAGAGGAGAUAUAACCACUUCACAUAAAUUUUGUUAAUUGCAAUUUUUAUCUAAACAUUCAAAUUAAUUCCAUCAACUAUUGCAUCCUAAUAUUUUCUGAAUCUAAAUGUCCCCCAUAGGACUUCACCUAGGGUAAAUGUUUUCAAUCAUGGCCACUGGUUUUCCAUAUCAUAGAGUCUCAGAAAAGUUUCUUCCUCAUCCAUUGGCCAUUAAACCCAUACAUUUGAAUGUGCUUUGGGUUUCCAGCCAGAGGUUGGGCCAACAUUGGCCCUUUUGUCAAUUCUUACACUGAUCAGUUUGAUGUUCCCAGGCAAUUCAAAGUCUGGUUUCUCACUGUUAUCUUUGCCUUGCAGCUUUUUAGCUUCUUUCAAGACAGGAUAAACAGCAGAUUUGUCCUUCAGUGUUGAGAGACUGCACAGGCUUCUGUUGAUCCACCCCACCUCCAACAGUGCCACAUUAAGACCUUUGUUUUGCUUCUGUCAUUUUUCU